UAUUUUCAAGCAUAGAAUAUAACCAAAGUAAAGUACAUGUAGUUUACCUUCUCCACACAUACUUCGACAGAGGAAAUUGAAGGAACUAUCUGAAAACAGUCUUUAAUUUGUGAACAAAUCCUCUGCAAGAUGAAAAUAUUCAAGAUUCUGUGUGCCAUAUUGAUGAUGGUAAUAGCAGUUUUAGCAGGGACAGCUAGUGGAAGGCCACCUUUCGGACGGCUUGAAUUUAACAGAAUAAAAAGAGAUGCUAAUGGCAACACUUUGGAUAGAAUCGUAAGGUUACUGGUGAAAAGAGAUUAGAUGGUGUGUGGCACCACAAACUGGAUCUUUCAUCAUUGAAGCUGAACUAAAUAAAUUUAUAGUUGAUCUCUAUA